rnacentral:rRNA from 1 species
GCAGAUGGAAAUGAGGAUGCAGAGAAUGCAGAGGAAGGAGAGGAUGCAGAGGCAGAUCAUGAUCAUGAUGUAGAGAAUGCAGAGGAAGGAGAGAAUGAAACUGACUCAGACUUUUAUGAGAGUGACUAUGAUUGUGAAGAUGGAGGUGAUGAUUUGUUUGCUCAGAAUGUGGACAAAUCAUUGAAUGACAACAAUGAAGAAGAGGAAGAGAUAUUUGAGGAGGAAGAUCCACUGGAUGAUGAUGAGCUCAACCUGUCAAAAGAUGAGUUGGAGAAGUUGAAAUAUACAAUCAGAACGUUCAAUGCAGAAAUGGACAUGAGCAACCCAAUCUUCAGGGUUGGGCAAGUAUUUGGAGAAAUGAAAGAGCUAAGGGAAGCAGUCACUGCAUACACAGUCAAAAACAGAGUGAAAAUCUUCAAACCUAGAAACGAGGCAGAGAGAUACAUUAGUGUGUGUGUCAACCAGAUUGCCCUUGGAGGUUGA